UCAGGUUCAUUACCACUGUGUCAUGAUGGGAACUCCUUGUACUGUGUUUUUAACCAAAUGGGCCCAUGCUGUGCUUGAGACUGUGCCUUGCUUUUUUCAUUGCAAUUAUGAGAGUAUUUCUUUAUUCUCUAUCUGUCCCUGGGUCAACACACUCUUUAUUUUAUUUUUUUGCUUUUUAGGGCUGCACCCACAGCAUAGGGACAUUCCCAGGCUAGGGGUUGAAUCAGAGCUGUAGCUGCCUGCCUACACCACAGCAACGCAGGAUCCGAACCGCUUCUGCAACCUACAACUCACCUCAUAGCAAUGCCAGAUCCUUAACCCACUGAGCAAGGCCAGGGAUGGAACCUGCAUCCUCAUGGAUACUAGUCAGGUUUGUUACCACUGAGCCAUGGAUGGGAACUCCUGCCUUUUUUUUUUUUUUUUUUUUAAUACAGAAACAUAGAUGAUCUUGGCAACUUAUAACCACAUCAUUCAGUCUAACAUUUCCACUUCUCAGAUGGGAAAACUGACAAAAAGCAAGAAAGUACCUGACGCUACUCUCCACUUUCCUUGCUCUCUUCCAUGUCUUUCCCUCCCGACCAGGACCCCCCCACCCGCCACCUUCCUCAGCAAAAACCUGCCAGGUACCUAGGCCACUCUCAAGUUUCCACCUCCUCCAGGAAACCUUCUUGGAACUUUCCAGCCCCAGGUCAGAUGUUCAACUGCGUGGCUGCCGUGGGGCAGCUUUAGUCAAAAGCUAUCUAGUUAGCAAGUGGCCAGGCAGCGCUGGAACAUGAACCAGGUUAUUCGAACUCCAGAGCCCCCACUUUUCAUGGCUGUGCUGCCUUCUCAACAAAUGGGAGAUAGCAGUUUCCCCACCAGACAGGUGGGGAAUCUGAGACUCAGAGAGGGCACGUGUGCCCCUAAGUUUGCAGAGCUGGUGAGAACAGAGAGCCAACCUCUGAAGCUGGACCCCCUUCCACCAGCCCACACACCUUUUUCCUUCUUUUCUCUGUCUUCUGGGCAAACCCGGAGGCAGGCUAGGUGGCCCCCGCCUUCUUAUUUGGUCCCUGCUGGGCCUGUCCUCCCUCCAUGUCACCUUUGGUCCCCUGGGUCUAGGUUUCCAACUCAGAAACGGGAGCGAAGGUAGCCCAGGGUGGAGUGCAGAGGGUGGAAGUUUCCAGGAGCUCAGUGCAACCCCCCAUCCCCCAGAUAAGAAGGAACGCCUUGUCCUCCCCUCGCUCGGAGCAGCCAAUGCAAACCCCUACUCCCGGAACCUGGCCUGGCUUGUGUCCUGGGCACAAAGUCAAUGUUUGCCCAAUCAAGGAAGCAUGUCAGCAGCAGCCUUGAGGGCCGAAGGCAAGUGUGCGACUCAGCUGCCUAGGGCUGGUGUCUUCGUCCCUCCCACCUGCUGGACUUUGCUUCUGAAACACAGUGGGUCUCAGUCAUACUCCAGAUACAUCCUUAGGCACCUCUCCCAUCUUUGGAGCCCCUGUGUCCCCUCCCAGAUGCUCCAGCUCCGGCUGGGCCAGGCUGGAGAAGAGGUUAGCAGUGGCUGGGGGUGGCUGUCUCAGCUCUCUGUUCCUGAGUAGCCAGUUUCUGUCCACCCUCUGCUAAGGGCUGGGUUCCAGAGGCCUUGCUCAAGGAGCUCCCUCUUCAGGUGGGCUCAUAGGACCCACCCUCCACUGUGCCCUGGUAUGUGCGAAAGAAUGAACACAGCAGGCUCGAGGCUGCUCUUGGUAGGAAGGCCUCCUUGCAAGGUUGAGCCUUGGUUGGCAUCAAGGAACUUGGAAUUCAGGAAGGUUCCCAGGAUCCCCAGAAAUGGGCAUAAACUGUAUGUACAGCGUGACCUCUGCCACACACCUGCUUUUCUCCUGGGAUUUUGGUAAUAGCUGUGCAGUGGGUGCCUAUGUGACCAACCUCCAGUCAAAACCCUGGAGUCUUAGGCUCAGGCCUGCUUCCCUGGUAGACAUUUUCAUAACCUCUUGUUGGAGGAAUUAAGGACAUCCUGGGGGACCCACUGGGAUGGGGACCCCUUGGCAGCUUGCCCCUGAUUUCCUCGCACCCUACUCUUUUCCUUGGGUUGAGUUGGCUCCAGGUCCUUUUGCUGUAGUGCAUCUUUUUUUUUUUUUAAUUUUUAGUUGUAUUUUUUGUUAUUAAAGUGUAAUCGAUUUACAUUGUUGUACCAAUUUCUGCUGUACAGCAGUGACCUGGUCAUACAUAUAUACACAUUCCCUUUCUCAUAUUAUCUUCCAUCAUGGUCUAUCCCAGGAGACUGGCUAUAGUUCCCUGUGCUAUAUAGCAGGGACCUCAUUGCUUAUCCAUCCUAAAUGUAGCUGUGAGGCAUCUUAACCAUGCAUAUGACUAUAAGCUGUGUCCUGUGAGCCCUCCCAGCACAUCAUCAGACCUGGAGGUGGUUUUGGGAACCCCUGACACAGGGAUGGCUAUGGUGGGGAUUUGCCUGAUGGACCCUGACUCAAUGAAAGAUGAUGGAAGCAUUGUUUGGGGAAAGGAAGGAUGAAUUGGCAAAGGAUGUCCUUCCUAAGAUGAGAAUGAGGGAGUUCCCUGGCUGUGCAUUGGGUUAAGGAUCUGGUGUUGUCACUUUUGUGGAGUGGGCUCAAUCCUUGGCCCAGGAACUUUUGCAUGCUUCAGGCAUGGCCAAACAAAACAGAACAAAACAAAAAACCAAAAAACCAGAACAUCUAAGAUGUGAAUAUCAGAUUCCUCGCCGUAUAAACACAGGCCGUCAUCUUCCUUACGACCAUGACCCAGUUGACCUUGGCCCUGAGCUCCUUUCUGAGGACCUUGCUGAACACUCAGUAUCUUGCCCAGGGAUCUUGGGGUGGCCUCCUUGGCCUCCUGGAAUGGUCAGCCAACCUUUGAUGCCUGGGUGGCUGUGGCGUUAGCCCUGGUGUGAGACAGCAAGCAGCUUAGCUGCAACUGUGUCUGUUGUGAGAGGUGAAAAUUACUGUUGGGAUUGGACAGCGGUAGAUGGAGCUUCCUGGGAGUUGACAGCUGCAUCCCCAGGGUUUCUGGAGCCCAAUGUGGAUGAUGCCUUUGGUUUUUUUGUUCUCUUCUCAAGGUGGAAGGAAGAAGCCCAAGCAUUUCUAAAGGUGAGCCUUAGGUGGCCCCAGAUGUUGAGUUUGCAUUAUUCUUUCCUCUCAGUGGGAAGAAAAGUUAAAUCUGUUCCCAGAGCUGGAGAAAAGCCUUUAGAUAAACCAGGGAGGAAAAAAGAUCAGGGGGUGCCCUAGCUGCUGCUACUGUUAGAGAACCCCCCUACCACCAGCCCUGCUGCCACUGUCAAUGUUGAAUUUACUGCUAAGAUUUUUAAAAAUUAUUUUAAUUUUAUUAUUUUAAUUUUUGGCCACCCCGCAGCAUAUGGAGUUUCCAGGGCCAGGUAUCAGAUCUGAACCACAGCUGCAGUGUAAGCCACAGCUGCAGCAGUGCCCGAUCCUUUAACCCACUGUGCCAGGCUGGGGAUCAGACUUGUGUCCCAGUGCUGCAGAGAUGCUGCUGAUCCCAUUGCUCCACAGCAGAAACUCCUUAUUUAUUUUUUUAUUAAAUUUUUUUUUAACUGCUAGGGGUUUAAAUAAAUUUGUGAUAAAAAUGAAAGGGGGAGGAAUUUUUUUUAAUGGUUUUGUAUUUUGUAGCUAUUACAUACAGAUAUAUGAUUAAUCAUGUAAAAUGUUAUAUACUUGUAAUGCCAUAAGAUUGUCACAAUUAGGGGGAGCUGGAAAAAGAAGAGGAAAAAAAGCAUCAGCAUCCCUGGGACACAACUUUCUUGAAUUUUGCAUGUGGGUGGCUUGGAAUUUGAGUUCUUUGAGUAUUGAAAACAGAACAGUUCUUAUUAUGAUUUUUGAAUUUUGGAUCCUUCUGGGGAAAAAAGACCACAGGAAAAAGAGAGGCAAUCUCUAAAUGGAGAGAUGCUUUUGCUAAUGGGCUCCUGUGAAAUUACCUGUCAGACCUUUAGAGAUGAUUUACUAUGACUUGCAUAUUUUUGAGGGACUCAGCUUGUGUUCUAAGACCAAUGCGACAAAAAGGCCCCUUAGGGCCCCGCCUUCGGCGUAUGGAAGUUCCAGGCAGUUCCAGGGCCAGGGGGUUGAAUCAGAACUGCGCUGCUUACCUACACCACAGCUCGUGGCUGGAUCCUUAACCCACUGAGCAAGGCCAGGGAUUGAACCCGAAUCCUCACAGACGCUAGUUGGGUUCUUAACCCUGUGAGCCACACAGGAACUCGGUUUUGAAAUCUUUGAGUCUGUUUCUGUUUUGUAAGUUCUAUUGUAUCAUUUCUAUUAGAUUCCAUAUAUUGGUGAUCUCAUAUGAUAUUUGUCAUUCUCUUUUUUUUUGUCUUUUUGUUAUUUCUUUGGGCCGCUCCCGCGGCAUAUGGAGGUUCCCAGGCUAGGGGUCCAAUCGGAGCUGUAGCUACUGGCCUACGCCAGAGCCACAGCAACGUGGGAUCCGAGCUGCGUCUGCAACCUACACCACAGCUCACGGCAACGCCGGAUCAUUAACCCACUGAGCAAGGGCAGGGACUGAACCCGCAACCUCAUGGUUCCUAGUCGGAUUCGUUAACCACUGCGCCACGACGGGAACUCCAUAUUUGUCAUUCUCUAACUUCCCAGUUGCCUUUGAACUUGGGACAUGGCUAAUCUGCCUUGGUUGCAGCAGAAGAGAAGCUGCUGUCUGUGGGGUGGGGGGUGCACCCCCCAACUUUAUUGAAGAGUAAUUGACAAAUUACUGAUAAGAGAAGCCAAUCAGGUCUCAACUGUACAAUGUUGAGAUCACUUGCUUGUCUGUGGAAGUCUGAAAUUUUGCUACAUUGUACCAGGCAGAGGCUUCACAAGACUUCUGAAGAUGUCCAUGACAAAAGAAAAAAAAAAAAGCUUAAGAUCUCAUGCUAUAGAUAAUACCCAUGUGAAUCUCCACCCUCAUUUAUAUGUCACUUCAUUUUUCUUGGUACAUCUACUAUGGUAGAAAAUAUUGUAAACAACCUAAAUGUCCAUCAGCAGGGGAUUGGUUCGAUACAAGGAAACAUUAAAUAACUAUUCAAAAGAAUGAAGAAACUUUCUAUCUGGUGAUGGGGAAAGAGCUCCAAGAUAAACCGUUAAGUUAAAAAAAAAAAAGGCAAGCUGCCUCGUUAGCACAGUAGGUAGCGCAUCAGUCU
rnacentral:lncRNA from 1 species